CCUACGGGUGGCAGCAGUGAGGAAUAUUGGUCAAUGGGCGGGAGCCUGAACCAGCCAAGUCGCGUGAGGGAAGACGGUCCUACGGAUUGUAAACCUCUUUUGCCGGGGAGCAACGCGGUCCUUGCGAGGGCCCGAUGAGAGUACCCGGAGAAAAAGCAUCGGCUAACUCCGUGUCAGCAGCCGCGAUAAUACGGAGGAUGCGAGCGUUAUCCGGAUUUAUUGGGUUUAAAGGGUGCGUAGGCGGGCUGUUAAGUCAGCGGUAAAAUGUCGGGGCUCAACCCCGGCCGGCCGUUGAAACUGGCGGCCUUGAGUGGGCGAGAAGUAUGCGGAAUGCGUGGUGUAGCGGUGAAAUGCAUAGAUAUCACGCAGAACUCCGAUUGCGAAGGCAGCAUACCGGCGCCCGACUGACGCUGAGGCACGAAAGCGUGGGUAUCGAACAGGAUUAGAUACCCGUGUAGUC
rnacentral:rRNA from 1 species